rnacentral:rRNA from 1 species
UACAGAGGUCUCAAGCGUUGUUCGGAUUCAUUGGGCGUAAAGGGUGCGUAGGCGGCGCGGUAAGUCGGGUGUGAAAUCCCCGGGCUCAACCCGGGAACUGCGUCCGAUACUGGCAGGCUUGAAUCCGGGAGAGGGAUGCGGAAUUCCAGGUGUAGCGGUGAAAUGCGUAGAUAUCUGGAGGAACACCGGUGGCGAAGGCGGCAUCCUGGACCGGCAUUGACGCUGAGGCGCGAAAGCCAGGGGAGCAAACGGG